rnacentral:lncRNA from 1 species
UUGAAUCGAGCUAUUUAAGAAAAAAAGACUUGAUUAUUUAUUUGUUAGAAAUGGUUUGAUUUGAUUUGAUUUUUGAAAAAAAAAACUUGAUGUGAUCAAGUAUUUUUCUUUGAUUCUAGAAAGAUUGAUUUUAAUGGUAAUUUUAUUUAUUUUUGUUAAUUGACUAAUUUAAAUAAUCUAAAUUAAUUAAACUAAAAAAAAGAAAUAAAAACGGGUGUGUAAAUAAUAUAAGGGAUGAUGUAAUAGUAAACUUAGAUGGACUAGAGGCUCAAAACAAAACAAAAAAAUAAUGAUAAGAUAAAAUAAAACAACAAAAAAAGUACAAAAAAGAAAGAAAAAAAAGGUGUAGCGUUGAGGCCCACUUGAAUGUCCCAAUCACUUCUUCCCUCACACCGUGAGGGGGUGUGAGGAAGUAAUUAGGAUGUUUGGCUGAGUAAACAAACAAAGCCCAAAGCUGAGGGGCCCAAAGCACUGAGGAAUCAACAGAACGUAUUUUUGACUCCAACAGAAACAUUGGAUCAUCAUACAAUUAGGGGUCAACGCAAAUCCAGUUGCUUAGGAAAAAAUGCUUGCGUGGUGCAAUGGGGACUCCUGUACAAGAGUCCCAAGGUCAAC